rnacentral:rRNA from 1 species
AGGACGAACGCUGGCGGCGUGCCUAAUACAUGCAAGUCGAACGGUCUUUCUAUGGAAGCUUGCUUCCACUGAAAAGAUAGUGGCGAACGGGUGAGUAACACGUGGGUAACCUGCCCAUAAGAGGGGGGAUAACAUCCGGAAACGGGUGCUAAUACCGCAUAGUUUUCUUGAUCGCAUGAUCGGGAAAGGAAAGACGGCCUUUGUGCUGUCGCUUAUGGAUGGACCCGCGGCGUAUUAGUUAGUUGGUGAGGUAACGGCUCACCAAGACGAUGAUACGUAGCCGACCUGAGAGGUGAUCGGCCACAUUGGGACUGAGACACGGCCCAAACUCCUACGGGAGGCAGCAGUAGGGAAUCUUCCGCAAUGGACGAAAGUCUGACGGAGCAACGCCGCGUGAGUGAAGAAAGGUUUUCGGAUCGUAAAACUCUGUUGUCAGAGAAGAACAAGUUGGAGAGUAACUGCUCCAGCCUUGACGGUAUCUGACCAGAAAGCCACGGCUAACUACGUGCCAGCAGCCGC